rnacentral:snRNA from 1 species
AUUAUUUCUCAGUCUUUUGGCUAAGAUCAAGCAUAGUAUCUGUUCUUAUCAGUUUAAUAUCUGAUAUGUCCUCUAUUUGAGAAUGCAAUAUUAAAGGGAUUUUUGGAACUCAGGGACAGAAAAGAUACUUGUCUUAUCCAUGGCAUAUGUAAUUCUAAUACAACAGUAUUUGCAGAAAUGGUAUACCCUCA